rnacentral:lncRNA from 1 species
CCCUAUUCUCUUAUCAAACAAUAAAAAAAUAAAAAUAGAGAGAAUAAAAACAAAAUGAGUUAGCAAUCUUACAACCUAUCAAAGAUUAAAAUAAAAUAAAAAUAAAUAAAGUAAAAUAAAAUAAUUGAAUAAAAUAGUCAAUCCUAUGCGGGCCAUGCAAGUCAUACAAAAAAUGAGUCUAAAAGUGCCUACUGGGCCAAGUGUGUCUAAAUGGGCCUAGAGCGG